UCCCAUGUGGCUCAGUUGGUCGAGCAUGGCACUUGCAAUGCCAGGGUUGUGGGUUCGAUUCCCACAGGGGAC
rfam:Salmo salar isolate Sally breed double haploid chromosome ssa21, whole genome shotgun sequence.